rnacentral:rRNA from 1 species
UAGGGAAUAUUGGACAAUGGGGGCAACCCUGAUCCAGCCAUGCCGCGUGAGUGAAGAAGGCCCUCGGGUUGUAAAGCUCUUUUGUCCGGAAAGAAAAGCAUUCGGUGAAUACCCGGAUGUUCUGACGGUACCGGAAGAAUAAGCACCGGCUAACUUCGUGCCAGCAGCCGCGGUAAUACGAAGGGUGCAAGCGUUACUCGGAAUUACUGGGCGUAAAGCGUGCGUAGGUGGUUGUUUAAGUCUGAUGUGAAAGCCCUGGGCUCAACCUGGGAAUGGCAUUGGAAACUGGGCAGCUAGAGUGCGGUAGAGNGUAGUGGAAUUCCCGGUGUAGCAGUGAAAUGCGUAGAGAUCGGGAGGAACAUCUGUGGCGAAGGCGACUGCCUGGACCAGCACUGACACUGAGGCACGAAAGCGUGGGGAGCAAACA